UUUUACCUCACAUUGCUUUCAUGCUGAUCCACAUCAGGAGGUGAAAUAAUUGAAUCACACUUCUAGCCUUGCAGGUCCCUUUCAUAGGUUGGGUUUUUGGGGGACACAUGAGGUUCUUGUCUUGUUGCUUGAGUUGACCUCUUGGAUGGAGUUUCAUGCAUGAGCUUAUCUCAAAGGAUGCUUGUUUGGCAGAUUGAUGGCAUGAAUUCAAAGAAAUGCUACCAUGCUGGGAGCAAAUAUAUCCAAAUCUUCUUUCAAGUCUUGAGUAAUUUUCUCAAAAAAACAAAAGAGGGGGUUAAUUUGACCUUGGUGCUUGAUUCCUUGUACAAGUUGAGAGUGGGAAAUCAUGAGAUCCGGUAGAUGGUUGUAACCGUGGCUGCCAGAAUUUGUUUGCGCAGUUAACAGUGCUUUGGGGUUCAAGCAUUUAGAGGUGAGUACUGCAGUAUAGAAUUCAACUGUGAGGUACCACAAAUAUCAUCAGUAGCUGUGCAGAAUCUGAAAUAGUUGUAAGAGACUUGCAUGUUGCCUUACAAAAUCACAUUUUGUUCUCUCACCUUAGCUUUGUGAUGAUCACUUUUUUUCUUUUUUAUCGCACGGGAUCAAGUAAAUUCCCUCCUUGUAUAUUGCGAAGCCAUGAGUUGUAGUCAUAUUUGUUCUUUGUUGGAUACUCGGAUGAAUUGUCAAAUUGUGAUCCCCAAAACAUACAUAAGUGGUUAGAAGUUGAACAUCUCUCAGCGCUUUUGUCCAAAACAUACGUAAGAGCUCAUUCGUCAAAAAUGAAUGGCAGACUCCUCUCAAAUCAAAAUGACAAGAAAAGAAACAAUAUCUUCACUGUUAGCGAAUCUGACUCUGCAUCCAUCUUCUCAACAGCAACAAAAGGAGAGAAGAUUUCCGUCCAAACGAGGGCUGGUAACGGUUCCUAACAUUUCAGCAGAAAACUUUAUGUGCCACCACCACAUUAUCCGCUCAAAUAUCCAUCAAUGGUGGCAUCCCUGAUGCGUUCCGCCAACUGCAUGUGAAUUGUACCAAUCGCGAACUGCCACAUCAGAUGGGUAAUGGACAGACUAUAGGGCGGCGCACCAUCAUAUUACUGUUUCAUUAGUUCAUUUAUCUGCAUCCAUCCAUCCUUCAAACACCCAUCAUUGUGGCUCAACCAUGAGCAUG
rnacentral:lncRNA from 1 species